rnacentral:tRNA from 1 species
GCAGGCAUAAUUUAACUCAAAAUAUUAAGUUGUGGACUUAAAAAUAAAGACUUACUAUCUUUUGCCCGCC